CUGAACAGUACACAUAACAUUUUUUCUGUGUUUGCUUUUUAUAAUAUUACAAAUUUAUUAGUGCAAAACCCGAAAAUUAACAACGGCUUAUUUUUUAACAAUCCAUAAUGUUGUUGGUCCAAUUGCUGUCAAACUCUCAAUAUAGUCGAGACGUGCCUUUGCCGCAGCCGAUUUUAUUUGAAGUCCAGAAUAACGCAACAAUAUUGGAGCUCCGGCAAAAGUUGGAGCCCAUUAUCGGUCUUCCGUUAAACCAGAUCAAACUGCGAAAAUCUGGCCAGACAAUAAACAAUAAUAAACUGAUUUCGGAUGUCUUGGGUGCGAGGACUUCGGAAGAUUUGGGAUUUGACGCGGAACUAUCUGUAUUGAGCGGAAAUUCAUUCUUCGCCCCCCUAAAAUUUUACGGGCAGGUAUCUAAAAACGGACAACCGAUUAACCACCAAUUCUACAUGCCUCAGCAAUAGGUGAGCAAGCGCAUUCCUAGCUAUUCCAGAGCGAACAUCAGCGGGACCUCGAGGUUGGGUCAUCAGGACACUCUUGAAAUAGCCCAGGGAUCCUGUGUAAUACCGAUGAUCGAAGGCCAAUGACCCACGUCCUAUCAAUACCAGUAUAUUAUUUGACAAUAUUAUCCCGUCAAACAGGGCACCUGUGUCUUGGACUGCGCUGGGUGAUUAAAUCGUCCCGAAUUCCUUUAUUUACCGAAAGUUACGAUCCCCAGAUCGCUUAUAGCUAGCCAAUGCUUUGGAGUAUUGAUAACAUGGCCCUUCGCAAAUUGCCCAACUCGUUGACCUGUACGGCUUUGCAAAAGACUCCCCUUAAGAGCGCACCAGAAGUCUGAAGUACCCGGAAAGAAUGAUCGUUCAUUCCCCUAAAAUUUUACGGGCAAGUAUUUAAAAACGGACAACCGAUUAACCACCAAUUCUACAUGCCUCAGCAAUAGGUGAGCAAGCGCAUUCUCACAGGACGAUCCGCUCAAGUCGCGGAUCCUGGCCGCUGGCAAUGAUUUCAAGGGUGAGCAGGCCUCGAGGAGGAGCCGCGCUACGGGCUAGAGAUCAGCGAAUUUGGCUCCAGAGCCAUAUUAAAGGAACGACGGCACUGUUUAGAUCUCCCAUCCCGAGAAAACAAUUUGCUAUUCUAGAGCGAACAUCAGCGGGACCUCGAGGUUGGGUCAUCAGGACACUCUUGAAAUAGCUCGGGGAUCCUGUGCAAUCCCGAUGAUCGAAGGCCAAUGACCCACGUCCUAUCAAUACCAGUAUAUUAUUUGACAAUAUGUCUUGAGCUGUGCUGGGUGAUAAAAUCAGCCCGAAUUCCUUUAUUUACUGCCAAUGCUUUGGAAGUAUUGAUAUUCGCAAAUUGUCCAAUUCGUUGUAGGUCAUGUUGGCCGCCAGCAGUACAUUAGUCCUAGCCAUAUCCUCAUUAUAGGACCUGUACAGCUUUGCAAAAGACUCCCCUUAAAAGCGCACCAGAAAAACUAUGACUGCCCCCUACAGUCUGAAGUACCCGAAAAGAAUGAUCGUUCGUUCAAAAAAUCCAAGUCAAAAAAAAAUGUGUAAAUACAUCACAGAUCACAGUACAUCGGAAGUAGGCGGAAAAACAAAUACGAUACGCGUCAGAAAAUGGGACAUAAUCUUUUAUUAGAAUCGGAAAAGCUGUUUUUUCGAUGAGGAAACCGAGGAAUACAGGAAAGAAUCCAUCCACCACCACCAACAGAGAUGGUCGACUUCAUGUCCGAACAGAAAAAUUAUUAUUUUAAUUCAAGAGAAAUCAAGUCGGUGGUCUGAAAUGGUGAAGAAAUGUCUUUGAAUGAGCUGAACAAGAAAAUGCACUCCAGUGACAAAUAAAUAAUAUAAAAAUAUUUUUAACAGAA